rnacentral:piRNA from 1 species
UGAGCACAGUGACCUAAGCUUGAUGCUUCG